rnacentral:rRNA from 1 species
CGUACACUCCUGCGGGAGGCAGCAGUGGGGAAUAUUGCACAAUGGGCGCAAGCCUGAUGCAGCCAUGCCGCGUGUAUGAAGAAGGCCUUCGGGUUGUAAAGUACUUUCAGCGGGGAGGAAGGCGAUAAGGUUAAUAACCUUGUCGAUUGACGUUACCCGCAGAAGAAGCACCGGCUAACUCCGUGCCAGCAGCCGCGGUAAUACGGAGGGUGCAAGCGUUAAUCGGAAUUACUGGGCGUAAAGCGCACGCAGGCGGUCUGUCAAGUCGGAUGUGAAAUCCCCGGGCUCAACCUGGGAACUGCAUUCGAAACUGGCAGGCUAGAGUCUUGUAGAGGGGGGUAGAAUUCCAGGUGUAGCGGUGAAAUGCGUAGAGAUCUGGAGGAAUACCGGUGGCGAAGGCGGCCCCCUGGACAAAGACUGACGCUCAGGUGCGAAAGCGUGGGGAGCAAACAGGAUUAGAAACCCCUGUAGUCCCAUG